CAGUCGCCGCGGUAAUACAGAGGAUGCAAGCGUUAUCCGGGAUGAUUGGGUGUAAAGCGUCUGUAGGUGGCUUUUCAAGUCCGCCAUCAAAUCCCUGGGCUCAACCCUGGACAGGCAGUGGAAACUACCAAGCUGGAGUACGGUAGGGGCAGAGGGAAUUUCCGGUGGAGAGGUGAAAUGCGUUGAGAUUGGAAAGAACACCAACGGUGAAAGCGCUCUGCUGGGCCGACACUGACACUGAGAGACGAAAUCUAGGGGAGCAAAUGGGAUUAGAUACCCCUGUAGUCCCUGUCUCUUAUAU
rnacentral:rRNA from 1 species